CAUUUAAAAUAUGGUCAAAAUAUUUCUAAAUAAUGCACUUCUUUGAUAUUGCCUUUCCUCCCUCUGCACUCAGAUCUCUCAGUAUGGCUCCUUAAUAGUUCAUAGUCUAACAUUUAAAGCAUUAAGUCUCUUCAUGACCUCAUUCUCAAGCAUAUUUCCUUCUGUUUCUCCAUAUAUAACCACAAGAUAAGCUAAACUUAACCAUGAGAUUGUUAUUGGUUAGAAUAUAAAGCUGAAACUUAGAGGUUGUUACUAUAUUGGUUUCUGUUAGAUGUGUUCUAUCCCAUUAUCUUUCUGUAUCCAAAUACUAAUAAUACAUCAGGACCUAACUCAUGCUUAACUUUAUAAAUUUUUUCCGUAGCUGGAAAUAACUCUGACCCCCCCCCAAAUUCAAUAGUGUUUUUCUGUGCCUGUGUCUUGUGUAUUUUAGCUUAUUAAGUGAAUCUGUCCUAGACCAUAAGCUCCUAAGAGAAUUAUUUACAAUGAACAAUGAAUUUCUUAGAGAAAAUGCUCCAGCACCAAUAAGUGGAUAUUCCUGUGAAUAGCAGAUAUUCAACAAAAGUUUGCCUGCUUAAUUUACAAAUGAAUAAUCAUAGCUAGCUUCGUUUUGGAGGAGUGGAUACUUGCUAUUUAAUGGAAAUGUGACUUUGUUCUCCAACUUCUUAAGCCAAAACAAAACAAACAGAAAACCCCUGAAAGUUCAAAGGGGUUAAGUAACUUGUCUAAGGUCACACAUUAAAUGUUAAGACCAGACUUUCAAAAUCAUACCUCUAACACUGACCUCUUCAUGAACUCCAGUUCCAUAGACUGCCUUCUCUACAUUUCCACUUUGGUGUUUAAUAUUUUUUUGGUAUGGUAGCUCUAAUAUGUAUCUCUUAUAGUCAUUCCCUUCAUUUUGGUAUAGACUCUCAUGGACUCGCAUCAAAACUACUGAAUUUGUUUAAUAAUUGGUUUCUUUACUCCAUACUAGUUUAAAAUCAAAUUUAUUUUUAAGUUAUAGUUGAUUUAUAAUGUUGAGUCAAUUUCUGCUACAGCAUAGUGACCCAGACAUACAUUUAUACAUAUGUAUGUAUAUAUACAUAUAUACACACAUUGUUUUUCUCAUAUUAUCUUCCAUUUUAGUCUGCCGCAAGAGACUGGAUAUAGCUCCCUGUAGUAUACAGUAGGACUUAAUUGCUUAUCCAUUCUAAAUGUAAUGAUUUGCAUCCACCAACCCCAACUCCCAAUCUAUCCCACUCCCUCCCCCCACCCCCUUGGCAACCAACCUAUUUUCUAUAUCCUUGAGUCUGUUUCUGUUUUGUAGAUAGAUAUAUUUGUGCCAUAUUUUAAAUUUCACAUAUAAGCACUAUCAUAUGGUAUUUGUCUUCUCUUUCUGACUUCAUUUACUUAGUAUGAGAAUCUCUGGUUGCAUCCAUGCUGCUGCAAAUAGCAUUUGUUCUUUUUAUGGCUGAGUAGUAUUCCAUUGUGUGUAUGUAUGUACCACAUCUCCUUAAUCUCUUCAUCUGCUGGUGGACAUUUAGAUUGUUUCCAUGUCUUGGAUAUUGUGAACAAUGCUGCAAUAAACAUGGGGGUGCAUGUAUUUUUUUCAGUAAGUUUUGUCUGGAUGUAUGCCCAGGAGUGGGAUUGCUGGGUCAUAUGGCAGUUCUAUAUUUAGUAUUAUGAGUAACCUCCAUACUGUCUCCAUAGUGGCUGUACCAGUUUACAUUCCCACUGACAGUGAAGGAGCAUACCCUGUUCUUCACACCCUCUUCAGCAUUUGUUAUUUGUAGACUUGUCAAUGAUGGCUAUUCUGCCUGUUGUGAAGUAUCUCAUUGGAGUUUUGAUUUGCAUUUCUCUAAUAAUUAGUGAUGCUGAGCAUUUUUUCAUGUGCCUACUGACCAUCUGUAUGUCUUCUUUGGAGAAAUGCUUAUUUAGAUCUUCUGCCCAUUUUUUUGGAUUGGGUGGUUUGGUUUUGUUGACUUGUAUGAGUUGCUAAUAUAUUUUGGAGAUCUGGCCUUUAAAACAUCUAAAGAAGGAAGAACAGACAAAAGCCCAAAUUACUGGAAGGAAAGAAACCAUAAAGAUUAGAGCAGAAUUUAAUGGCAUAGAAACAAAAUAAAGAUAAAUGAAACCAAAAGUUGGUUGUUUGAAAAAAUCAGCAAAACUGAUAAACCUUUAGCUAGGCUCAUCAGGAAAAAAGGAAGAGCGUUAAAAUCUUUACUCUUGGGAGUUCCCAUUGUGUGCACUGGAAACAAAUAUGACUAGGAACCAUGAGGUUGCAGGUUCAAUCCCUAGCCUCACUCAGUGGGUUAAGGAUCCGGCAUUGCCAUGAGCUGUGGUAUAGGUUGCAAACAUGGCUCGGAUCUGGUGUGCUGUGGCUCUGGUGUAGGCCAGCAGCUAUAGCUCUGAUUAGAACCCUAGCCUGGGAACCCCCAUAUGCUGUAUGGGUACAGGCCAAAAAAGACAAAAAGACCAAAAAAAAAAAAAAAUCUUUACUCCACACUUUUAUUCAGUUGGUCCUACAUUGAUUUUUUUUCUAAGUCACCACUUAUAAUGCUGCCACCAUUCUGCUCCAGUAUUUUCAGUGACUCCCUACUAACUAUGAAAAUAAACCCCAUCUUCUCUGACAACCAACAAAUUCGUCUCAACAAUGUCUCCAAUGAACUUCUCCCAAUACUCCCAACAUGCAGCCUCCACCGCAAACACACUAGUCUCUUCAUUUCAUUUGAAUAUACCAUGUGUAGUUCUGCCUUUUGAGGAAUUACAUAAGGUUCUGCUUCACUGGAACACACUUCUUUUUCUGAUACACUUACCAGAGCCUAUAUAAUUUAUCUUUUAUAAGAUAAUUAAUUUAUCUUCUAAAUGGGUGCGAGUGUUCGGGUGAGGCAGGUAGGAGAAAUGAUGACUCAGGAUUGCAUCAAGUAAACCGCUAUGCACAAUUAACCUAUUCAUAGUGAUGUGCCUUUCCACAUCUACAUCAGGUCUUACCUCUCCCCAAAAAUGUUCAGACUUCCUGGCCUUAAGCAAUGACUUUCUCUUUUUAGGCCACUUUGUGUCAUAGCAAAGCACACAAAAGUCAGAAUCCUAAGAUAAAGACCUUGAAUCCCAGUCCCUCUACUUUUUUUAUUCCUUUUUAGAGCUAUAUCUGCAGCAUAUGGAGGUUCCCAAGCUAAGGGUUGAAUUGGCCUACUCCAUAGCUAUAGCAAUGCCAGUUCUGAGCUGAGUCUGUGACCUAUACCUGCAGCUUGUGGUGAUCCUUAACCCACUGAGCGAGGUCAGGGAUUGAACCCACAUCCUCAUGGAUACUAGUCGGGUUUGUUGCCACUGGGCCAUGGCGGAAACUCCAAAGCCCCUAUACUUAUUAACUGUGUGGUCAGGAGCAGGUAACUUAAACUUUUUGAAAUUCUGCCCUCCUUUGUAAAUCGGAUUAUUGUUUUCAUUUGUUUUCCUCCCUGUAGUAGGAUGAUACAUCUACCUCCUUUACCUUAUAGCUCUGCAUUGCCUUCCAUUGUGGGUGGAAUAUGGUGCACCUCUUCCCAUUGAUCUUGGCUUUGUCAUGUGACUUGAUUUGGCUGAUGGAAGGUUAAGAGACAUGACCUAGGCAGAAGCUUUACAUGUGCUCACAUGGGUUGUUUGCCUUCCUUUGUGCUCCUGUGAUCCAUCUGAGGAUAAUAUGCCUAGGGAAGCUAGAACUUCCUUAUCCUAGGCCUCAGAAUGAAGACAAAGGAAGCAGAACCAAUCCUAUCUGGAACCCUAGAGUCAAGAAUAAUCCCCUCAAAGCCAGGCAAGCCUAGAUAAAACCAGAGAACCAAAACCAAAGAUCAAAGGUCAAGAGAAAAAUGCUAAUGGUCACUAGCCACUGACAUCUGGGGGUUGUCACAUAGCCUGUUUCAGCCAAACUAACUGACAAAACCAUCUUAUACCUUCAUAAAACUCAAAAAUUGUAUGUGAAAAUGAUUUUAGAAAUGGUGCAUCACAAUUUUAAUGUUACUUAUGAUCAUUGCUCCUUAGUGUUAUGAACUAUUUUAUAUAUUAAUAUUUCUCAUUUCCAAAUUCUAAACUGUAAAAUAGAGAUAAUACUGUUAUAAAAAAUGUAUAAUUAUAGAAGAAACAAAUAUAUAAGAUAGUACACAAGAAUGAUAACUAUAUUAGAAUUAUAUAAGAAAUAUUUGCCAAAGUUACCCUGCAUAGUGCCUUCCACAUCAUGGAUACAGAAAGGUCAUGCUGCCACUUUUGCUGCUCCUCCUAAGUAUGUUUUGUUUGUAUCUGUAUUUUUGCUCUUUUAGAUCUUUUUUUUUUAUAUUUUUCACUAAGCAGUAUACGAUAUUAAAAAGGUGGAUUACCAAACCAAACACCUGGGUUUGGGACUUGCCUUGGCACCUUGGGCAAAUUGCUUAAACUCUUAAAGCUUGAGCGUUUUCACUUACAAACCAAACAGUAGCAGUAAUACAUUUCUAAAUUAAAAUGACAAUAAAUCAUUUAAAUGAAUGUCACAUUUUACAGCACCCAGUAAAUAGUAGCAUCUAUACUCCUAUCUCCUCUCCAGAAAUUUCUAAGCAGAAUUCUUCGACAAUCCUAUGUUGCCUAGACAAGUAUAAUACUCUUGAUUAUCUUCUAAACAGACACCUACCUAUACACAGCCUUAGAACUUGCAAGAUUUUCCAUAAUUAGGUAGGGGAAAGGGGACAGGAAAAAGACAUCUUAAAAGUCCUGGGUUCUCUCUGCUCUGUGGCCUCAUUGCUGAUAUUUCAAUGCCCUAAAAUAAUUCAUAUCUCUAUUUACCUAACAAUCAUCAGAUUUCUUCUUAGAGGAUUCUGCCAAAUCUAGGUUAGACAUCUCUUAUAAAAGAGCUUUCAUAAAAUCCUGGUGGAGGGCACUUAAACAAGGAAUUGAAAUUGCUUUUGACUUGUCAAUCUUCCCAACUGUACUAUAAGGUCUUUGAGGGCACAGGCCAUGCCAUUAUUUUUCACCAGCACCUAACACAGUCCUGACUCAUACUAAGCACUUAAAGACAUAAAAGAGGAGGAGAGGGAAAGAAAGACAGAAUGAGGAAGAAGCAAGCAAGAAAGAAAGGGUCAUUUUUAUUGUCUGUCUUCCCUGAAAAGAAUGUUUAGAGAAUAAGACAGUUACUAUAGCAUCAUCAAAACUCAUUUCCCAAUCUAUGUUUUGCUUCAAAUCCCAUAUCAGUGUGUUCCCUUCCUGUCAUCAGAGUAAGAGGCUGUUUAUUUUAAAAUGCCAACUCAUCAUAAAAACUGUUGGGAGCACAUGGACUAAGGGAGAUGGACUGAAAUUCCUAUUCUCCUCCUCCUGGUCCUCCUCCUACUUCCUGGUCAUUUCAGGAAAAGGCUC
rnacentral:lncRNA from 1 species